CCGAAAGUUUUCCCAAUAGAAGGCGGUUCCUUGGGCAGGCGAGGAUACGCAACAGGUUGGAGCACUUGCAGCCAUACCUGACGAGCUCUGGGACAAACAGGGUUGAACCAACACACACUCACUGUCAUACAAAGUGCUUCGUCUGCAAAACGGUUUCUACGAUUUUGUGGUAAAAACUGAGAAGAGAGGCUGAGCAUGGUGGCGCACACCUUUGAUCACAGCAUAUCUGGGAGGCAGAGGCAAAUGGAUGUCUAAGUUCGAAGCCAGCCUGUCUUUACCAGUUCCAGGCCAGCCAAGACUACACGAUGAGACCCUGCCUAAAAGCAAAACAGUAGACUGAGAAGAGGCUCGGCUGUAAGGCAAUACGGCCGCGCCUAGCCCGGGCCGCCUCAGCCUGCACCCGCCCUGAAGCCCCGUGCACUCACUGAGGUGAACCAUGGUGCAGCGGCGUGCGGCUCUCCGGCUGUCCCCCCGCACAAACAAACCCCUCCGAGCCUGAAGCCUGAAAGAGCGCCCUCAAAGGGCCGCGCACACACACACCGGAGGGCCCUUGCGGAAGCGGCCGGCCGCUCGCCCCGCCCCUUCCGAUUUCUCUUCCUCUGCAUGCCGGAAAGCAACAAGGCUCCGGGGUCUGUCGACUGCUGCGGAAGAGGUAGAUGUGGCCCAGCCGUAGGAAGAUGAAGUGCAUCUCAGCAGCAUCAACUACAAAACUAACAGUUCGCUCAUAGCACGCCUUGGCUUCAGCAUGAUUUCCACUUAGAAAAUAGAGAUGGCCCUUCACACCCCA